rnacentral:rRNA from 1 species
GACGAACGCUGGCGGCGUGCUUAACACAUGCAAGUCGAACGGUGAAGGGACUGGUUUUGCUGGUUCUGGAUGAGUGGCGAACGGGUGAGUAACACGUGAGUAACCUGCCCCCUUCUUCUGGAUAACCGCAUGAAAGUGUGGCUAAUACGGGAUAUUCUGUGCCUGCUGCAUGGUGGGUGUGGGAAAGAUGCGCCCUUGGGUGUUUUUGGUGGGGGAUGGGCUCGCGGCCUAUCAGCUUGUUGGUGGGGUGAUGGCCUACCAAGGCGGUGACGGGUAGCCGGCCUGAGAGGGUGGACGGUCACACUGGGACUGAGACACGGCCCAGACUCCUACGGGAGGCAGCAGUGGGGAAUAUUGCACAAUGGGCGCAAGCCUGAUGCAGCGACGCCGCGUGAGGGAUGAAGGCCUUCGGGUUGUAAACCUCUUUCGCCAGUGAAGCAGGCCUGUCCCUUUUGUGGGUGGGUUGACGGUAGCUGGAUAAAAA